ensembl:lncRNA LINC00524 long intergenic non-protein coding RNA 524
GCAAACCCACUGUGUGCCUGGCGCCCUUGCGGUCAUCCCAGAUUUUUGCCCACAUCCCUCUGUUCCACCCAGAGGCCACCUGCAUGCAGGCAUGGUGGAUGGUUGCUGUGUGCAGUGAUGGCCUCCUGGGACCUCUUGCUGGCCACGGAGUUAACCAGGAGGGACCAUCAACCUCGGAAGGCCCAGCUCCAUGAUGAUGCCUCUCUCCAGAGACCUCCUGACCUCCUGACCUGCACAGCCCGGGAGACCACAGCCCACAGCCGCUGCCCCAGGUGUCCACAAGCAUCUCAGCCCCUCCACAGCCCACGCAUCUCCUCUUUCAUUGGCUCAUGGGGAGUGAAGGACAAUGUCUGAAUUAAAUGCCGUGCUUUAAACUGAAAGGGAAACUUAGCAAAUAAAUGAGAGUAACAACACUAGA